rnacentral:tRNA from 1 species
GCCUCGUUAGUGCAGUAGAGAGCCAGUAAGUCUCAUAAUCUUAAGGUCGUGAGUUCGAUCCUCACCGGGGGCA